AAAUUUCGACAAUGGAUCACUUGGCUCUCGCCUCGAUGAAGAACGCAGCGAAAUGCGAUAAGUAGUGUGAAUUGCAGAAUUAAGUGAAUCAUCGACUCUUUGAACGCACAUUGCGCCCUUUGGUAUUCCUUAGGGCACGCCUGUCCGAGCGUCAUCUAAAAGCCUCAAGCCCAGCCGGCUUGGUGUUGGGCGUUUGUCCCGCCUCGGGCGCGGACUCGCCUCAAAAGCAUUGGCGGCCCGUGUAGUUGGCUUCGAGCGCAGCAGACUCGCGCCUCGCGAACGACUGGCACGGGCGUCCAUCAAGACGCACCCCCAAGUUUGACCUCGGAUCAGGUAGGGAUACCCGCUGAACUUAAGCAUAUCAAUAAGCGGAGGCU
rnacentral:misc_RNA from 1 species